CUUUUGGAUAUUUCCCACGUGUUCCACGCUGGAAAUGAUGGAAAUAUGUUGUUUACAAAGUAGCUCAACAGAAGAACCUUGAAGGAUAUGUGGGGUUUGCAAAUCUUCCAAAUCAAGUAUACAGGAAGUCUGUGAAGAGAGGAUUUGAAUUCACACUCAUGGUAGUAGGUAAUCUGGAAUGGUCAUUUAAACUUCAAUGGACU